UCGAUCCACCCAACCCGAACCUUUCUUCCUCUCUUCCCGACGCCGAAUUCCCCCUUCCUUCUCCGGCGAUUCCUCCUCGCCCGAUCGCCGACCACCGUGAGUUCACCGCCGGAAACGAUCUUCCUUCUCCUCCAGCGUGCCUCGGCAGAGUCUCCCUCCUUCUCCCUCUCGAUGCCUGGAGUGUUUCUCCUCUUCCUCUCUCGCCCGCGGACGACUCGACGCCGACGGCUUCCCCAGCGAUCUCGGCUUCGUCGCGUCACCAGGGGGAAAGCGUCACCCGAUCUUGAUGGCUCCGACCAUCUCCGACGCAGCGAUCUCCUCUUUGGCUGUGCUGGCACACGAGGCAAUGACUCGGCGGAGCUAGGGCAUGGCAGGGAGAGGUUGAUUCGUGUCUUUUCCAGCCGAUCGAGAUUCUUUUGCCUCUCCUCUUCGAUCUACUUGCUGGGGGUGAACUGGAUCAUCAUCAGUGGAAGUGGAUCACACGACGCCAACUAGAGGCGAUUGGUUAAGGGGAUGGCAUUGGAACAACUUUUUGAUGAAGCUCCUCUGAGCAUAUCACUGUCCUCUACAUAUUGUGGUUGAGUAAGGCUUCGGUUGAAGGAUUGGGGUCUAUUAAGGGGGGUUCUUGGUGGCUGUUGGCAAGUUCUUGUGGGGCUGUGAAUUUGGAAUUGUGCCAUACUUCAAGGCCUUUUAUAUGGGAUGAUCAUCACGAUGGGGGAUUUAUUCUGGACACGAUCUACGUAUCAAGGCGGGUAUUUCUUCCUUGGCCUCUAUGUAGAUUUUCUUGUACUUAGUGCAUGGUUAUUAUUGGAUGAAUUAGGCUGCUUUAUCUUAUAUCAUGAUCGGUUG